rnacentral:lncRNA from 1 species
CAGAGAGAGCCCUCGUCUAGGCUCCGGUCCUGCAGUGUUACCGACGCGAGUUGCUGAACAAGCUCACCUUCCACCGCCAUCAGUGGCCUAUGUACAUACCACGCCGGGCCUACCUUCAGGCUGGGAAGAAAGAAAAGAUGCUAAGGGACGCACAUACUAUGUCAAUCAUAACAAUCGAACCACAACUUGGACUCGACCAAUCAUGCAGCUUGCAGAAGACGGUGCCUCUGGAUCAGCCACAAACAGUAACAACCACCUAGUCGAACCCCAGAUCCGCCGGCCUCGUAGCCUCAGCUCGCCAACAGUAACCUUAUCUGCCCCACUGGAGG